rnacentral:lncRNA from 1 species
UCCUUUCAGCGCUCAAUCCCGGCGAGUGCAGGCAUCACUGAAGACCUGACACCGGCAGAAUCGGACGUCCACCGUCUCCGGCAGAACAAACCAGGUGUUAUCUCGUUUCCAAACUUUUAUCUCCAUCAAGAUGAAGCCGCGCGUCCUGUCGAUGAGAAGGCCUCUGCUUCGCCGGAGGAACAGACUUUUUUCCCCCCGUCUACAAACGAGCAGAGAGACGCAGGGGCGAGACAAUAACGCCCAGAAGUUAUGAAAAUGAAUCGUAAGUUGGCGAUGUUUGAUAUUUUUCGCUUUUAAUCUCUUCUCUUUCACCAGUUUUCCUUCAGGCAAUAGUUCUGACGGCUACAUCGUCUUUUUGCGGACGACUUUUCAAUGUAUGACUGCAUGUGUCAUUUUUGCGCCGUACGCUUUCUGUCAUUUCUCUUUAAAUUUUACGCAUAUAUUAUCCGUAUUAUUGUUACCAAACGCUUUCCACGCUUUGAUCGCUACACCUUCAAUGCUUGGCUGAUCCCUGAGUGGAUUUUGUGCUGUCGACAUUCUUUGUGUGGGUCGGUAAAUGCCCUCGUUGUGGAUGUGUGGCUGUGUAAGCGCAGCGCCAUAGCAUGAAAUAUAGAUAAAAAGCACACGGUAAACCCGCUGACCCCAGCCAGUCAGGCUGUGCAACCGGUCCACACGGCUCAAUGAGGACAAUUAGGGGGGGCAAGGGAGAGAGAGAGAGAGAGAGAGAAAGAGAGUGAGAGAGAGAGAAAAUGGAGUACUUGAAGCGCACUAAAGCAGGGCUGCACUUCACUUCAACCCGGCAGGCAGGAUAAGGGUGGAUCUUCAAUAACCUUAUGUGACAUUUCCAAUGCAGGAUGUGACUAAAAAUUAAGAAGAGAAGGAAAAUGUUGCUGAAGUUUGGCCCCCGGGUCAGGCUUGGAAAGAGAGGACAUAGUUAGACAGGAAUUCUUCUUGUGCAGAAAUGUUGUUCCACCAAAUUAUUUACGUUAAAUUCCAGAGAACUUGACACACACACACUUUGAGGUCAUGUCAAUCACUGAUCCCUUUUAUUGAUUGGAAAUUUAGGGAGAAGGGAGGGUUGAAGUUUUAUGUACAUAAGAGAGUCAAAGUUGAAAAUGUAUGCCCUCUGAUUUUCCAUGAUUUCUGCACAAUCAGAGGGAAAGACAGAGCGGGUGAGGGUGGAGGAGUGGUGAUGGUGGUGGGGGGAGAGACCGGGGCCAUUUGAUGUUUUGAAAGGCUUCAGAUGGCUUUAAUUAGGACCUAUAAAAUCUGUCUGCCCCGUUCUCUGAGGCGGUGCUCUGGAGAAGCAAGAAGGGAGGGAAGCUGACAAGAAAAAAACAAAACAAAAAAAAAUACAAAAGAAAAAGCAAACCAAUACAGAAAGUCACUUCAGCAAAGGAUUGUCUAAUCAAAAUUUUAUAAGCCUCCUUUUUUCUCUCCCUCGCACACUCCCCUCCUUGAUGCUGGUGGUAUGUAGGCAGCCCUCCUAUUCCCUCUUUGUCUGGCUGCUGUGUUAUCUACACCCCCCCCAUCCUCCCACCCCCCCUCAACCUAACUACCGCCUACAGUCGCCCGAGCCCAGACACCUGAACGCUAGACAUAAUGAUCAAGAGAAGUUCCUGUCUGUCUGGGGCACAGCCAGUUGUUGAAGCUUUUCUUCUUCUACUCAGUUUUUUUUGUACCCGUGCUGACCUGGCAGGCCCUCCCUUCGCCCGUGACUCUUGCUAUGAUGUUAGCGUGUGUCCGUGUGUGUAACUGGGUCGCAAGUUCUCUGCAACUGCUUCUGUUUCUUUGCCGCCGUAUUUCCUAUAUGGAUCUUUAAUGGAGUGUAGGUGACUCACACAGCUGCAUUACACACACACUCAUGAGGAAACAUCAAAGACUUCUUAUGCUCUUGUGUGCGUGUGUGUGUGUGUGUGUGUGGGUUUAAAGUGUGUGUCUCAGAGUGUGUGUGUGUGUGUGUGUGUGUGAGAGUGAGAUUUCAGCUGUUCUGGCGAAGCAUCUGCAAGAUUAUAGGUAUGGGGUUUUGCCCUGUAGUUAUUAUAUUUUUCAUGUUUGUUCAAAAAGCUGGUUUCUCCGCUGUGCUAGUUAACUAUCAUGAAGCGUUGUGUUGAGUGAACUGAAUCUUUUUUCCACUUCUAGGAGGCUUUAAAGCUGUUUUUAUUUCUGCGUUAUGAUGUAAGACCUGCUUUUUCUUGGAGUUCAAAAGAAUUUUAAUCCAAAAACCAAUAAUUUGCCAAUUAAAACAAACAAGUGUUGAAUCUUUUGAGUCCUGAGCAUAACCAUAAAAUAUAAUUCCAGCUUGAAGAUGGCUUUUGUCUCCUACUGGAGGUUUUGAUUGAGUCUGUCGCUUCUCUAAUCUUGAGGUGGGCGUCUUUGAGUCGGCCUAAUGCUGAAGUAGCGUCAGAAGUUAAGAAAAAGGAAUAAAAAGGAGUAAUUUUGAAGCCAGAGUUGGUAAAACGGCACAAUAUGUGCCUUCUCUGACAGACAAAUUCAUCUCCUGGAGUGUCUUCCCUUUGAGGAGUGCGUGUCUUUUGUUUGCUUGAUGUGUGUUGGUGAGGGAUUACAUCAUUUUGCUGCUGCUGGGUUAGCUAGAUAAUAAACUAGCUUGCUUGCCGGAAAAUAGCUGGUUGGAGUGAAGGCUUUGUUCAUGCGUUUGGUUGACAACACGGUGGAAAUCAGUACCGCUACAGUGGUGUAUGUUUGUUUUUCUGUCGCUAAUCCAAUGAGACGAAUCAUUUUGAUUUUGUAUUCUGGGUUGUUUUCGUCAGUGAUGUCCAUUUUUGAUAAACUUGUUUGUUUGGAGAUUAUCCCCUAACAGCUGGAAUAGGCUCCAUCUGAACCUUUAACCCUGUAAUCUGCUCAGAUACCAUGUUAUGGAGUUCAAGUGUUGGUAAAAUUUGCACAAGGCUUCAACCAAAAUCCUGUCUCUUGUUUGUGUGUGUUUUCUGGGAGCCCAUUCUGUGUAUCAUAGCAUCAAGGAGAUUGAGGAUGUCUCUUCCUCUGCCACCACCCUUUGAAGAGGGAAGUAAUAAAAAGCUCAAUGGGUGCAACAAGCUGUUCUGAGGCUUUCUACCUGGAGAUGAAUAGGAGGCCCCUCCAUAACGAAGGGGGAGAAGAGGACAUUUUAUUGGAGGCUGAGGAUGUGGGGGAUGCACCGUUGCUUAUAGACACUUGGUGUGAAAAAGUCUAGUUGUACCAGUUUACAGGAAAGUGCUGUCUACUGAGUUUUAUGUGGGUAUAAUUAUUAUUUGGGCAACCAAAAGGCAUAAUUUUCUAAACCGCUAAUCUGUCAACAUGUUUGAGUAAAAAUGAUUAAAAUCUGUUCAGCUUUAAGUAGGUCAAAAGGGUGUUUUGUAAACAUUAACAAAUUGUCCUGUUAAAUCCAGCUUGAAGUAAAAUACUGUCUUCAUAGUGAGAUAAUACAACAGCCAUGAUAAUGACAUUGGGAAAUCACAAAGCCACAGAUUAGGAUUUUCAGUAACCAGAUUUAUGCGUGAAGGAGUGAAGUCAUGGUCAGGAAUGUAAAUGGCGGAGUCAUUCAAUUACUGCCAUGCCCUUUCCUGGGAAAAGUCCCCAGCCGUGAAGAGGUUAAUUGUUUUUGAAUCUCCAUCCAAGGGGAGAAAAUGGGCGAACGGGAGGGAUAAUUGAGCCGCCGAUAGUUGAGUGGAUUAUGGAUUACUGCGCCUUUCCAAAGGAGAAAAGAAAAAGGAGGUGAACGAGAGAUGAUGCAGAGGAGGAGAAAAAGGGAAAGGAGAGAGUGCGUGAAAGGACCUGUGUUGUGGAUGUAGCCGCAGGGGUCGUCUGGUCUUCUCAAGGAAGAGAGGGAGAUUUUCAAUCCUGUUUAGCCCCGCGAGGUGACCUUUGACCCCUCGCAUGCCCCUCCCUGCUCCAGGUGCAAGCCCUCACUGCUAGCAGCUCACACACAGACACGCAAGCUACAGGCUAAUUUUUCACACGCUCUGCGAGGCACUGGGGGGAAACGUCGUACGAAAAUGUGGAUCCUUUUUGACAUUUUAACCCCCCUGCUUCUUUUUCAUUCUGCUGCGGGAGGUUAAAGAUCCAAGCCGGCCUGUUGGAGUAAGAGGGUGGGGGGUGCUGUGAUAGCACAAGGCCUCUUUUCUUUUUUUUCCCCCUCUCUGUUAUAUUUCUCCCCAAGAAAAUGGAUGAGUGUCUUUAAACUGGGGGAAAAAAGGAUGAUCUGACAUGGUGCAAUAAUCACAGGAGUGUUAAUCAGAGGGAUGUCAUGUAUAAUUACUACAGUGUUUGAUAACGCAACGACAAAACCACCUCAGGCCAUGAGCGAAAGUUUCCCAAUGCUAUUAAUGGGCGUUAAUAAAAUUCAAGAAACCCCGGAUGGAACGAGCCCUUCUGCAUGGCCCGCUGGUUAAAGCACUGUAAGGUUAAUGAACCAAUUUACAUACUUUCUGCUGCCAUCUGGGAGGAGUGACAAGGCAGAUGCUGCCUAUUCUGCACUGUUGUGUUGUGCUGUUCAGCACGGAGGAAUGUGUCAGGUCCACGGAGGUCUGAGCACAUUUUUACAUAAAGCCUGUGGUCAGAAACAAUCAUGGAUGAGCUGUAAAUCAAUGCUGCUGAAAGGUCUAGACUGAGCAUCCACAAGACUGCCUUUGUGUGGUAUUUAACCUGAUCCAGUCCAAUCCAAAUGGUGAAACCAUGAGACCUUCUCCUUAGGUGAACACGAGAAGUGGUUGGUAUCAAAUAUGGCCUCCAAGCUUAAGCUAUUGUUCUCGACAAGAUGCGAUGUUUAAGCGUGGAUUAUACUCUGACCCCUCCCCGUUAGAAGAAGAAAUGUGGGUAGAAGGGAGUCAUCAGCCCCUAAGGUGAUGAGAAACUCGACAGGGGCGAUCAGCAAGAAUCAUGAUCUCUGGGACUUGGAGGGGGAAAAAAGGAUUAGCGUCCGUCCACCUCUCUGCCAUCCUCAUUGGGGUGAUCACGUUACAAAUAGAGCAUCCUCGUAGUGCUCCCUUCGCGGAGGAACACAAUGAGGUCUGUCGGCGAUCAAUAAAGCAGUGUGAAAGCGGGGGGAUAUGCUCAGAAAAAUCAAAGGCGCUGGCUGGCAUGGCCAUCAUCUGCUGGAAUCAGAUAAGGGGAGCGGGGCCUCGAAGGGAAGGUUCCUCAGCCCCAGGGCUGCUCGUCUUGACAGAUUCCCCUCCUACUGGCACACAUGCAGACUGAUUUCAUCUAAAAAACCAAAACAUUUCUGCAUCUAUCCGAUCUUUCUGAAAAUGUAAGAACAGCUGAAGGGCUGGAUGGGUAAAAUGGAGAGUAAUAUAUAAUCCCCGCAGCGUGUUUGGGGUGAAAAUACGCAGCUAUUUCUCUAACCCCUCUGUUGUCCUCCAUGGGUGAUGGCUUUUACCUCAUGCUUCACUUACACGAUUUAAAGAAAAUAAAAUCACCCCGGUUUUUGGUUUGACAAUGUGUCAGAGCUGGUGCGAGUGUUUGUCUCAGAUUAGCUCUUUGUGCCGCUAGGAAAGAGAGAAAAUGGGGUGGAGGGGGGUCAGGGAUGGGAGAACAAUACUGCUGCGAUCCCAGUUGAAAGAAAUCAUUUGCACAAUUUUAUGAAAGCUGUAUUUGUCCGGUCGGAUGGUUCUAUCAAAGCCUAACAGCCACGGUGGAGCGUGAUUUAAAUGACGGGCGAGCUACAAAGCCGGCAGGAUGUCGGGUUAGAGUCAUUUCUCAGCUGAACGCUCUCCAGGUAAAGGCAGAUAAUGCGCUCUCAAGUUUUUUCUUUCUCUUUCUUAAAGAAGUCUAAUUUCUACAGAUGGCUCUGAGCUGACACCAGCGCUGCCAAAGCUGCUGUUCUCAGAGCUAAGCUUGUACAACAUUUAUGUGGUGAAGAUGAAAAGACAUCAUCCCUGAAAACCUAGCUUAGGAGAGCACAGAUUUUCUUCAAAGUAUUAUCAGUUUUUUUUCUAAUUUCCUCCUGUCUUCCCGUCUCCUCUAAGACCCUCCAUAUUUCUGACUAUUAACACUUUAAAUACCGGGGAGCUGCUUGCAAAGGUCGAGAGUUCAGGUAAGUUGAAAAGCAAAACUAUGACGACUUGAAUGCGUUUUCUUAGCCUGGAACCUGCUGUUAACUCGCAGUGCAGAUAAAAGAAGAAGAUUUGCCUCUACCCCUUUCUGUUGUUGUCUUCACUCUCAGAACCCCCUCCAGUACUUCCUGGUGACUCACUUCUUUCCGAGCCAUUUAUGCUUGAAAACUUCCUGAAGAUGAACCAAACAUAUUCUGGGUUUUUAUCGUCGAUGUGGGACCAUUGGGCAUAAUGAAGUUCUGUUUCCCAGCAUGAGUUCGGGAGGCUCAUGAUUACAAAUGCUCUUCUCAUUGUCUCCCAUCAUCUCCUGCCUAAUUGAAGACAAUAUAACGAGACAAUGGGGUCUCGCUCAUCACUCUGCAUCAAUGGCAUGCUCUUUGGAACGUGCCAGUCUGUUAAAUGUGGGGAGGGGUUGUGUGUGUGUCUGUGUGGAUACUUGAAUGCACUCGAGCUUGUUUAAUUUGGACCAAGAAGAUGGACAAUUAAACUACAGCUCCCGGGGGGCCUGUUCAUUUUUUGGUCAGCUUCGCCACUUCUAGGCCGCCCGCCCAUGUAAACGCUCCUGGAUGUGUCUGGGUCAUGUGUAAGGGGGCUAGAGUGAGGAGGCGGGAAGGGAAUUGGGGUGGGGGUUUGUCAAUGUCGGGGUUGUCUCAGAUGAUUAGGACAGCCAAGUGGGGAGAGUCCCUCAGUGCCUGGCCCCCUUCACCUCCCUAAUAUGCUCUGAAUAAGUCCCCCUCUGCUGUGCGUUUGUUGUGGGCUUCAGCGGGAGGUGGGGGGGAUUAUGUCUGGCCAUGGUUUAGGAGUGUUUGUCAUCUGCCCCCUCGAGGCCUGCACCGGCUCCUUUGUCUGAGCGUGAGGCGUUGGUACAAUGUCAAAUCACACAAUGUGCCCCUGCAACUGGGGCCAUCUCGGGUGAGAAACUGACACAGGAUUUCAUGUCCUGAUUUUUCUUUUUCAGAUACUUAGUUUGAGGGGUAAGAACAAAUACUUACAAAAAACAUACUUUUAUUUCGUAAUGUAUUAUUCUUAAUCCAGUCAAUACUCAUUAACAGCCAGCACAUCAUCAUUGUUUCUGAAUCUAUCCAUACAGAUACAUUUAGCAUUUGUUGCAUCUGUGUACAUGACAAAAAUGAGAAUUAUUAUCAGUUAAAAGCAGUUUUUAAAUGGAAAAAGUGGAAUUAAAAACAAGUGCUGACAUUCAUCAUUCAUGGGGAGAAAAAGUUAACAGCAGAAGAGGAAGCAAUGCUCAUUUCUCUUCAGAGAAAAUAAUUAACCAGAAUGCUUUGCAGCCACAGCUUGCAUCUCAGCUAAUCUACGAUUGCAAGUGUGAGAAAUCCAUCAAACUCUUUAACAGCUUUUUUCUCCUAAUUUGAACAAUGAGUCAUGAUGGCAUUGUUUGUUCCCCAGUUUUACUACGCUUUCACUAAUGUUCUCUUCGGGGUGUGUGAAGGAUGUCGAAAAGCUUCUUGAAACAUAAGGACGCCAUUAAAAGAAGUAUACAACAUUAUUUGCAACACUUGACAGCUGAAUAACGCUUGAAAUUCAUUAAACAAGAUCAGUGAAGAAUUAUCCUGAAUCAAGGGUUUGUACCCACUUCAUGUAUAUGCGACUCCAUUCCCGGUCCCUGCAAAGUGUGUAAUUCAGUUUCAUGUUCUCAAAGGUGUUUCUGUGGCUCCACACAGUGCAUCUCUGUAUGAAAUUUGGAAGAAAGAAUCAUUCAUCUCCACACAAUUGCUAUCAAAGAGGGCACAGAACCCAGGCCAAAUAUCACAAGUUACCCUGAGAAUAACACGAAUGUCCUCUCUGCAUACUGAGAAGGCGAAACCUCUGAAUGACUGAUAACAGCUCUGGAGGAUUUAGACGCUGUGGGAGAAGCAGCUUCUGUAGCUUUGCAUUCAAGUCACUUGGCCAUUUGGAGCACCAGGAAAUGACACACAUUCCUCCUUCCCAGUAACAAAAUAAACCCAAAAUCUAGCUUCCUACUAUUUCAGCACAAUUAAGUCGACAAUUUGAGUGAUCCACGCUAUAAAUUGUCAUUUUUGAUUAUAUGGUGUCUGCACUUUUCUGCUCUUCUGGGAUCGCUUUAUCAAAUUCAGGCUUGUGAGUAAAAGCAUGCUGGUUUUUCUCCAAAAUAGUACAAUGCUCUGCUAGACAUUUGGUAUUCAACAUUAUGUUGUUUUUCAGAGUCUGAAAAGUAGACAGUCAGACAGGCAGAUUUCAGAUAUAGGCAUACGAUCCAUAUGACAGUUGACCCAUAAAAUACAACAUCUGCCCUUCCAUGUUAGCUUGUGGAAAAACAAAAUAUGGUAGCCUAAUAAACAAAUAAAAGAAAGCGAAGAGAUUAAGUAUCAAAAUUAAAUAAAACAUGCAGAAAUUAGGAUUGAACCUGUGCAAAUAUUAAACUAUACCUAUCCUAUAUUUGAAUUAAACCUCUAUAGAAGAAUUUACAUGUGGUCAUGAAACACUGAUUUUGAUAGUCAUGCCUCUUUAUGACCAACAAAAGCAAACAUCAGAGUAAGAUCCACCUUUUCUUGAUAUCUUAAUAUCAAGGUAGUUGUCAGGAAAUCAGGAAAUAUCCCCUACACAUCUACAGAACAAUAUCAAUAAAGAUAAAAAUCACUGCUUCGUCCACUAGGGGGCACCAAAAUCAACACAGACCAAAAUUUCCUCAUAGUAGCUUUAACUUUUGGUGUUAUAAUUCAUUUUGCUUGACUGCAAAACACCUGUUUGCUUUCGGUUUCUCUCAUUUCACACCUGCUACUGACUCAUUUUCGUAUCACUUAUUGACUCAUCUCAGACUAAUUACUUUUCCAGUUGCUAAUAAUGCACACACGCCAUUGGCCUGUGUGUUUUGGAGAUGAAUAAGUACGCUACACGUGAGGUUUGAUGACUCCCACAAAGAAGUUUUCAAUUCCAAAAUCCUCCGCACACCCUUCUCUGAGCGGCGAUCGUGAUAUUUCGCAUACAGCUGUGCUCAGAGUGUCGCACAUCGUCGGAAAUAUUUCAAACAAUGAAAAUAAUUGAAGUGCUCUUGAACCGCAUAUCCUGCUUUUAUUUCAUUUUUAAGUAUUUCUCACUUAUUUGAACGUGCCUGAAGGUUUAUUAAAACCAUUUUCAUGAAGUUUUGUGGAUAAUCCCUUCGAGGUUUUUCACAGCUGUGGUUUUAGGAGUGAAGAUAGACACAUCGGUGGACGUUAAUGGUUGUUAGGGUGAGGGUGUGAGUAAUUACAGUUGUGUGUGUGUGUGUGUGUGUGUGUGUGUGUGUGUGUGUGUGUGUGUGUGUAAUUGAGUUUUCCAGCAGUCUCGGAGAGGGUCUCAUCUGACCAGCGGAAAUGUGUUCUGUGGUGUGCUGCUAUUUUUAGACCCGUGUUAUAUUGUAGAUGAGGGAAAAGGGUUGGUUUAUCAAAGCCUCAGAAAGAUUGUUGCGCAUAUUAAUCACUUCUAAAAUUAGUCCCGCCACCUCGGACAACCCGGAGGAAAGUUGAUAAAACUCUGAAAACUGAUUGAAUUUUGGUUGCAGCAGGAAAAAAAUAAUCAAAAACUCUUCAGUCACAUCUUACAGACACACAAAAGAGGUCAGAAAAGGUUGGGGUUAAAUCUCAGACAAAUCUAUCAGACUAUGCAAAUCAUCCUUCAGAGAGAGUCUGACUUUUUUCUGUUACCAAAAAGGAAAAUCACGCGGGGAUGAUCUCUAUGAGGGCAGGAAGCCUUGAAGGUUUGCAUCAUGUCUGCCACGUUCUCCCCGAGGGUAUUCUUCUAGCGUCCUAACAUGCAAAGACACCCACACACACACACACACACA